rnacentral:rRNA from 1 species
UACGGCUCAGUAACACGUAGACAACUUACCCUGUGAUCAGUGAUACCCUCGGGAAACUGAGGCUAAACACUGGUAGAUAAAGGAGGCUGGAAUGCGCCUUUGUUGAAACGUAAGGUCAUAGGAUGGGUCUGCGGCCGAUUAGGUAGUUGUUGAGGUAACUACUCAACAAGCCAAUUAUCGGUAAGGGUUCUUAACGGAGAGGCCCUGAGAGGGAGUCUGAGACACUACUCCCAGCUCUAUGGAGUGCAGCAGGCGGGAAAAUUCUUCAAUGUCCGAAAGGAUGAAAGAGGAAUCCAAAGUGCUUCUCAAUUUUGAGAGGCUUUUGUCUACUUUAAAACGGUGGGCGAAUAAGGACUGGGCAAGACUGGUGCCAGCCGCCGCGGUAAUCCCAGCAGUCCGAGUCGUGGCCACAUUUAUUAGGUCUAAAACAUUCGUAGCUGGUUUUGUGAGUUCUUUGUGAAAUUGUUGCACUUAAUGCAACAGCGUGCAAGGGAGACUGCAAGACUCGGGACCGGGAGACACAACGAGUACAUUCAAGGUAGCGGUAAAAUGUUUUAAUCUUGGAUGGACUGACAAUGGCGAAGGCACGUUGUGAGAACGGAUCCGACAGUGAGGAAUGAAGGCCCGGGGCGCAAAAUGGAUUAGAUACCCAUGUAGUCCGGGCAGUAAACACUGAUUACUAAACAUUGUGCCGUCCUCGAGAUGGUGCAGUGCUGAAGGGAAGCUGAAGAGUAAUCUACCUGGGGAGUAUAGCCGCAAGGCCGAAACUUAAAGGAAUUGGCGGGGGAGCACAAU